rnacentral:tRNA from 1 species
GCCGGCCUAGCUCAACUGGUAGAGCAACUGACUUGUAAUCAGUAGGUUGGGGGUUCAAGUCCUCUGGCCGGCACUA